AUAUGAGGUAGAGGUCGCGGUUCUGAUGAACCCAGUGGAGCGAGAGGUCGCGCUGAAGCUGGCAGAGGGAGCACCGCCGAAAUGUCAUACACACCUCUGGGUAUGAUGUUGGGACAGUAUGCGAAUAGCUGCUGGACUGUCUUAGUGGAGACACUAAGUUGCGCUAUGUUUUCU
rnacentral:ncRNA from 1 species